rnacentral:rRNA from 1 species
AGAACGAACGCUGGCGGCAUGCCUAAUACAUGCAAGUCGAACGAACUCUUCGGAGUUAGUGGCGCACGGGUGCGUAACGCGUGGGAAUCUGCCCCUUGGUUCGGAAUAACAGUUGGAAACGACUGCUAAUACCGGAUGAUGACGAAAGUCCAAAGAUUUAUCGCCAAGGGAUGAGCCCGCGUAGGAUUAGCUAGUUGGUGAGGUAAAGGCUCACCAAGGCGACGAUCCUUAGCUGGUCUGAGAGGAUGAUCAGCCACACUGGGACUGAGACACGGCCCAGACUCCUAGGGAGGCAGCAGUAGGGAAUAGUUGGACAAGUGGGCGAAAGCCUGAUCCAGCAAGUGCCGCGUGAGUGAGUGAAGGUCGUUAGGGUUGUAAA